GUCUACUGCCAGAAUACAAAUAUGUAAUUUUUCAGUAUGUUUUUGUGAACGAGAGGAACAAAAGUUAUUUUAAACUUCUCUCUUUUUUUCCUCCUCCCUUUGAGGUUACGGCUGUAAUGAAAUACCCCAAAUGUCAUUUAUUCCUCUCUGCUCUGCUUUCAGUAUGAGUCUCCAAGGAACAAGCAACAUCUUUUGUGGAAAAAGGGUAUCUGAAACCUAUUCUGAGUACUGCAAAUGGUGAAAUAAGAAUGACAGUAAAAGAAACAGGAUAAACGGUGUCUACUGAGAAAGCUCCCAUGGAACUGCUGAGUGAGGAUCGCUGACGCUCACUCACAUAAUUAUGAAACUUAGUGAAGAUGAGCUGUCAGGAGAUCUCUAAUUAGAUAGUGCAGCAAACCCCAAACUCACUUUCCUACGUGCAUUACCAAGGGGCGUUACCUUAGAGAAGCUGGUGUGUUGUUCUCCCAGUGAAAUGGCCAAGGAAAGAUUUGGACAGGUAAAAAAAACCCAUGGAAAGCUUUUGAGGGCUGGAAUGUAUUGCUUUAGUGGAAUAUGUCUCCAUGGGCUGGCAAUACGAAAGAUGUGAAGGACUUCCUGUGUGGCUGACGAUCUGAAGGGAAGAGCCACAGAAGGUAUUUCAUACCUCUCUAUAGUUUAUGUGACCUUCUUUAAGGUCUGCUGAUGAAAAGUGCUAAAAUAAUCUAUUAAGGGUUGGAUGUUGUUAUUGCAAUUAUCUGCUUUUGCCAAGCUUGAUCUAAUGAUGCUGCAGCCAGGAGCAGAUUUGUGUUGCUCAACA
rnacentral:lncRNA from 1 species